GAUGAAGAACGCAGCGAACUGCGAUAAGUAAUGUGAAUUGCAGAAUUCAGUGAAUCAUCGAAUCUUUGAACGCAUAUUGCGCUCUCUGGUAUUCCGGAGAGCAUGCUUGUUUGAGUAUCAGUAAACACCUCAACUUCCAUAUCUUUUUUGAAAUGGGAGUUGGACUUGAGUGAUCCCAACGCUUUUCCUCACCGAAAAGUGGCGGGUUACUUGAAAUGCAGGUGCAGCUGGACUUUUCUCUGAGCUAUAAGCAUAUCUAUUUAGUCUGCCUAAAAAACAGAUUAUUACCUUUGCUGCAGCUAACAUAAAGGAGAUUAGUUCUUGUGCUGACUGAUGCAGGAUUCACAAAGACGGCUUCGGCCGACUUUGUAAACUCGAUCUCAAAUCAAGUAAGACUACCCGCUGAACUUAAGCAUAUCAAUAAGCGGAGGA
rnacentral:misc_RNA from 1 species